ensembl:lncRNA
AAAGAUACCACAUAGUCACUGCUGUAGACACUUCACAGCUCCUCAGGCAAUCCAAGGCAUGGCAAAGGCAAAUGAGAGUCUGGGAUCGGAAAGAAACACAAUUUAACUCCUCGCAGAAAAAGACAGGAACAACUCACUUACUGCCUUAAAGCCACCAUUUCUAUCCAAGAAAUGCUCUGGCGUGAAUUGAUCUGGAUCUGGAUUUGUUUCAGUGCAGGGAAUGUAACAGCAUCCUGAAGUAGUAAACAUUGAGAAUGGGUAUCCAAGUAGCUGAAGAUAAACUUGCCAAAACCCAGCCACACAGUCUGCAUCUGACUUAUCUAAUUUCUUCAAACGUAACCUGAUCAUUGCAGGAACCUCUGUUCCCUACUGCCAUACGGCCUUCACUUCUCCAUGGCAGCGCAUACUCAGAUUCCUGAGAAUAACAAAGGCUUCCAGCACAGCUCAGGCCCUGCAUUACAGACGGUGGAGGCUUCUACCUUAUUCUGUGACUGACCUAUCAAAUAACUUUGCGUGAGACAGCUUCCUUAAAUUCCCUAUCGUUGUCAUCCCAAAGCCCGGGUUAUCAUAACCUUAAUAAAGGCUCUGCACAUCAGGACCAAAAGCACUCACUAUCAGCAAACGGCUUUCACCAGAUCUGGUAUCCAUUGCUUUGUUUCCAGGAUGUGACACCAACAUCUCCACCUCCCACGUUAAUUAAGCACGUACAUUCAUAUUGCUCUUCGUCGCUUAACCUCCUGUAUGACACAAUUGGUGUCAUGCACUCAGUUUCGAUCAGCUGAACAGAGCCUUUCUGAGAUUUUAUACUGUCAGGUCAUGAACAUGUCCAGCAUCACCUCUCUUGUAAGGUAUGCGCUGUUUGCAAAGCACAUGCACUUGUCAACUUACUGUCUCAAUUUCUGACUUUUGCUGCCUGGCUUGGGGAAGGGCCUCUUCUCAUUUAAUCCUGACUAUCAUUUAAAGCUAAGCUCUAUUCAAAGAUGAUCAGCAACAGGAACAACAGAGUGCUUUACUGCUGAGGUCACCGUACAGAUCACACAACAGGUGAUAAGGCCUGAACUUCCUUGCCCUUUCAGAGACCGAGCCAAUACAUAGCAAUCUGUCGUACGCCCUAAAUGACUGAGAGCAGUUAUGUCAGUGGCCUGGUCCUGAGUCAACUGAGUUGUGUUUUGGGUCCUGGGAGUUCAGACACAAAUAUUUAACCAAACCUUUUGUGCUGGCUGGUCAAAUGGCAUUUCUGAAGUCACCCGAAAAAUAACGCCAAGGUCUGUGUCUUAUCUUGAGUACUGCCUGCGUAGCAUGUUACAAGUAGGCAUGUUUUGUAAAUUGUUGAAUGCUGAAUGUAUCGUUGAAUCUUAAUACCUCUGGUGAUGGCAAAGCCUUUGUCUUGUAAGGCAGGAGUUGACACUGUGAUUUUCUG